ACAACGAAGAGUUUGAUCCUGGCUCAGGAUGAACGCUAGCGACAGGCUUAACACAUGCAAGUCGAGGGGCAGCGGGGGUGCAGGCUUGCCUGCACCUGCCGGCGACCGGCGCACGGGUGAGUAACACGUAUGCAACCUGGCCGUGACAGAGGGAUAACCCGGAGAAAUCCGGACUAAUACCGCAUGACGCGGGGGAGGGGCCUCCCUCCCCCGCUAAAGGGGCAACCCGGUCACGGAUGGGCAUGCGGCGCAUUAGCUAGUUGGCGGGGUAACGGCCCACCAAGGCGACGAUGCGUAGGGGUUCUGAGAGGAAGGUCCCCCACAUUGGAACUGAGACACGGUCCAAACUCCUACGGGAGGCAGCAGUGAGGAAUAUUGGUCAAUGGCCGGAAGGCUGAACCAGCCAAGUCGCGUGAGGGAAUAAGGCCCUACGGGUCGUAAACCUCUUUUGCCAGGGAGCAAUGCCGUCCACGUGUGGACGGAAGGAGAGUACCUGGAGAAAAAGCAUCGGCUAACUCCGUGCCAGCAGCCGCGGUAAUACGGAGGAUGCGAGCGUUAUCCGGAUUUAUUGGGUUUAAAGGGUGCGUAGGCGGCCUGCCAAGUCAGCGGUAAAAUUGCGGGGCUCAACCCCGUACAGCCGUUGAAACUGCCGGGCUCGAGUGGGCGAGAAGUAUGCGGAAUGCGUGGUGUAGCGGUGAAAUGCAUAGAUAUCACGCAGAACCCCGAUUGCGAAGGCAGCAUACCGGCGCCCGACUGACGCUGAGGCACGAAAGUGCGGGGAUCAAACAGGAUUAGAUACCCUGGUAGUCCGCACAGUAAACGAUGAAUGCUAGCUGUCCGGGGGGAUUGACCCCUGGGUGGCACAGCGAAAGCGUUAAGCAUUCCACCUGGGGAGUACGCCGGCAACGGUGAAACUCAAAGGAAUUGACGGGGGCCCGCACAAGCGGAGGAACAUGUGGUUUAAUUCGAUGAUACGCGAGGAACCUUACCCGGGCUCAAACGCCGAAGGGACAUUCCCCGAAAGGGGAUUGGCCAGCAAUGGUCUUCGGCGAGGUGCUGCAUGGUUGUCGUCAGCUCGUGCCGUGAGG
rnacentral:rRNA from 1 species